rnacentral:rRNA from 1 species
CACGCCGUAAACGAUGGAUGCUAGCUGUGCGAGGUAUCGACCCCUUGCGUAGCAAAGCUAACGCGUUAAGCAUCCCGCCUGUGGAGUACGAGCGCAAGCUUAAAACAUAAAGGAAUUGACGGGGACCCGCACAAGCGGUGGAGCGUGUUGUUUAAUUCGAUGCAAAGCGAAGAACCUUACCCAGGUUUGACAUCCUGCGAAGGUUUGCGAAAGCAGACUGUGCCUUUUGGAACGCAGUGACAGGUGA